rnacentral:rRNA from 1 species
GCGUAAGGGCUCGCAGGCGGUUUCUUAAGUCUGAUGUGAAAGCCCCCGGCUCAACCGGGGAGGGUCAUUGGAAACUGGGAAACUUGAGUGCAGAAGAGGAGAGUGGAAUUCCACGUGUAGCGGUGAAAUGCGUAGAGAUGUGGAGGAACACCAGUGGCGAAGGCGACUCUCUGGUCUGUAACUGACGCUGAGGAGCGAAAGCGUGGGGAGCGAACAGGAUUAGAUACCCUGGUAGUCCACGCCGUAAACGAUGAGUGCUAAGUGUUAGGGGGUUUCCGCCCCUUAGUGCUGCAGCUAACGCAUUAAGCACUCCGCCUGGGGAGUACGGUCGCAAGACUGAAACUCAAAGGAAUUGACGGGGGCCCGCACAAGCGGUGGAGCAUGUGGUUUAAUUCGAAGCAACGCGAAGAACCUUACCAGGUCUUGACAUCCUCUGACAACCCUAGAGAUAGGGCUUUCCCUUCGGGGACAGAGUGACAGGUGGUGCAUGGUUGUCGUCAGCUCGUGUCGUGAGAUGUUGGGUUAAGUCCCGCAACGAGCGCAACCCUUGAUCUUAAUUGCCAGCAUUCAGUUGGGCACUCUAAGGUGACUGCCGGUGACAAACC